rnacentral:rRNA from 1 species
UGGACACUCGUAUACAGGUGGUGCAUGGUUGUCGUCAGCUCGUGUCGUGAGAUGUUGGGUUAAGUCCCGCAACGAGCGCAACCCUCGUUCUAUGUUGCCAGCACGUAAUGGUGGGAACUCAUGGGAUACUGCCGGGGUCAACUCGGAGGAAGGUGGGGAUGACGUCAAAUCAUCAUGCCCCUUAUGUCUUGGGCUUCACGCAUGCUACAAUGGCCGGUACAAAGGGCUGCAAUACCGUGAGGUGGAGCGAAUCCCAAAAAGCCGGUCCCAGUUCGGAUUGAGGUCUGCAACUCGACCUCAUGAAGUCGGAGUCGCUAGUAAUCGCAGAUCAGCAACGCUGCGGUGAAUACGUUCCCGGGUCUUGUACACACCGCCCGUCAAGUCAUGAAAGUCGGUAACACCUGAAGCCGGUGGCCUAACCCUUGUGGAGGGAGCCGUCGAAG